ACCUGGUUAGUUCAGUUGAUAGAGCGCUCCACUGGAGAUGGAGAGGCCCCGGUUCGAUUCCCGGACCAGGCA
rfam:Ixodes scapularis strain Wikel colony gcontig_1108378904600, whole genome shotgun sequence.